rnacentral:misc_RNA from 1 species
CGAGCCAAAAGUGUGAAAUGCCUACACGGGCAAAUCAGUUCACUGGAUUGAUUUCUGAUCCCACUUCGAUGCGUUGGAA